GUCCACGCCCUAAACGAUGUCAACUAGUUGUCGGGGAAGAAAUUCCUUGGUAACGAAGCUAACGCGUGAAGUUGACCGCCUGGGGAGUACGGCCGCAAGGUUAAACUCAAAGGAAUUGACGGGGACCCGCACAAGCGGUGGAUUAUGUGGAUUAAUUCGAUGCAACGCGAAAACCUUACCUACCCUUGACAUGUACGGAAUUCCGCAGAGAUGUGGAAGUGCCCGAAAGGGACCGUAACACAGGUGCUGCAUGGCUGUCGU
rnacentral:rRNA from 1 species